GUGAGGGGAGUGAAAUAGAUCCUGAAACCGCAUGCAUACAAGCAGUGGGAGCCGGCUUAGUCCGGUGACUGCGUACCUUUUGUAUAAUGGGUCAGCGACUUAUAUUCAGUAGCAAGGUUAACCGCAUAGGGGAGCCGUAGGGAAACCGAGUCUUAAUAGGGCGUUUAGUUGCUGGGUAUAGACCCGAAACCAGGUGAUCUAUCCAUGAGCAGGUUGAAGGUUGGGUAACACUAACUGGAGGACCGAACCCACUGUCGUUGAAAAGCCAGGGGAUGACUUGUGGAUAGGGGUGAAAGGCUAAUCAAACUUGGUGAUAGCUGGUUCUCCCCGAAAGCUAUUUAGGUAGCGCCUCGGACGAAUACCAUUGGGGGUAGAGCACUGUUUCGGCUAGGGGGUCAUCCCGACUUACCAAACCGAUGCAAACUCCGAAUACCAAUGAGUACUAUCCGGGAGACAGACUGCGGGUGCUAACGUCCGUAGUCAAGAGGAAAACAAUCCAGACCGCCAGCUAAGGCCCCAAAAUUAUAGUUAAGUGGGAAACGAUGUGGGAAGGCAUAGACAGCUAGGAGGUUGGCUUAGAAGCAGCCACCCUUUAAAGAAAGCGUAAUAGCUCACUAGUCGAGUCGGCCUGCGCGGAAGAUGUAACGGGGCUAAAACUAUAUGCCGAAGCUGCGGAUGCAUAAUUUAUUAUGCGUGGUAGGGGAGCGUUCUGUAAGCCGAUGAAGGUGGAUUGAGAAGUCUGCUGGAGGUAUCAGAAGUGCGAAUGCUGACGUGAGUAACGACAAUGCGAGUGAAAAACUCGCACGCUGAAAGACCAAGGGUUCCAGUCCAACGUUAAUCGGGGCUGGGUGAGUCGACCCCUAAGGCGAGGCCGAGAGGCGUAGUCGAUGGGAAAUUGGUUAAUAUUCCAAUACUUCUGUGUAAUGCGAUGAGAGGACGGAGAAGGUUAAGUCAGCCUGGCGUUGGUUGUCCAGGUGGAAGGUUGUAGGCAUGUAUCUUAGGCAAAUCCGGGGUACUCUAUGCUGAGAACUGAUAGCAAGCUGUACUUGUACAGUGAAGUGGCUGAUACCAUGCUUCCAGGAAAAGUCUCUAAGCUUCAGUUACACAGGAAUCGUACCCGAAACCGACACAGGUGGUCAGGUCGAGUAGACCAAAGCGCUUGAGAGAACUCUGCUGAAGGAACUAGGCAAAAUGGUACCGUAACUUCGGGAGAAGGUACGCUGUUGUCUGUGAUAGGACUUGCUCCUUGAGCGGCCGACAGCCUCAGAAACCAGGCCCCUGCAACUGUUUAUUAAAAACAUAGCACUCUGCAAACACGAAAGUGGACGUAUAGGGUGUGAUGCCUGCCCGGUGCUGGAAGGUUAAUUGAUGGGGUUAGCGUAAGCGAAGCUCUUGAUCGAAGCCCC
rnacentral:rRNA from 2 species